AUUGGGACACCGGUUCCCGUACGAUCGCUGAAGUUAAGCAACGUCGAGUCUGAUCAGCACUUAGAUGGGUGACCGUUUGGGAACACCAGAAGCUGUAA